UACGGAAGGGGCAAGCGUUGUUCGGAAUCAUUGGGCGUAAAGGGCGCGUAGGUGGUUCUGUAUGUCUACCGUGAAAGCAUACAGCUCAACUGUAUUUUGUCGGUAGAAACUGCAGGACUUGAGGCUGGGAGGGGCUGGUGGAAUUCCCUGUGUAGCGGUGAAAUGCGUAGAGAUGGGGGAGAACACUCGUGGCGAAGGCGGCCAGCUAGACCAGAUCCGACACUGAGGCGCGAAAGCGUGGGGAGCAAACAGG
rnacentral:rRNA from 1 species